rnacentral:rRNA from 1 species
UACGUAGGGGGCCAGCGUUGCUCGGAAUUACUGGGCGUAAAGAGCGCGCAGGCGGUCGUUCAAGUCGAGUGUGAAAGCCCCCGGCUCAACUGGGGAGGGUCACUCGAUACUGAUCGACUCGAAGGCAGGAGAGGGAAGCGGAAUUCCCGGUGUAGUGGUGAAAUGCGUAGAUAUCGGGAGGAACACCAGUGGCGAAGGCGGCUUUCUGGCCUGUUCUUGACGCUGAGGCGCGAAAGCUAGGGUAGCAAACGGG